AUUGAACGCUGGCGGCAUGCCUUACACAUGCAAGUCGAACGGCAGCACGGGUGCUUGCACCUGGUGGCGAGUGGCGAACGGGUGAGUAAUACAUCGGAACGUACCUUAUCGUGGGGGAUAACGCAGCGAAAGUUGCGCUAAUACCGCAUACGCCCUGAGGGGGAAAGCGGGGGACCGUGAGGCCUCGCGCGAUUAGAGCGGCCGAUGUCUGAUUAGCUUGUUGGUGAGGUAAAAGCUCACCAAGGCGAUGAUCAGUAGCUGGUCUGAGAGGACGAUCAGCCACACUGGGACUGAGACACGGCCCAGACUCCUACGGGAGGCAGCAGUGGGGAAUUUUGGACAAUGGGGGCAACCCUGAUCCAGCAAUGCCGCGUGAGUGAAGAAGGCCUUCGGGUUGUAAAGCUCUUUUGUCAGGGAAGAAACAGCAGCUCUAAUACAGUAUGCGAAUGACGGUACCUGAAGAAUAAGCACCGGCUAACUACGUGCCAGCAGCCGCGGUAA
rnacentral:rRNA from 1 species